GAAAAUUAAAUAAAGUGUUUGCACCUCGGUGAAGUCACCCUGCUGGUGGCCGAGGCUCAACCAUAAGAAUUAUUAAUGUGGGAUACUGUAUUAAUAAUAAGACCACCGUGUAUUCGCCUUUAAUUAGACGCUAUGGUUGGUGUCGCAAGCAGUUCUUCGAUGUAAGCAAUUAGUGUGUGGGGGCGACAAGAAGCUCUAUAGAAAUAUAUCUCGCGAUAAGAUAUAAAGCCUGAGAAACUUAUAUCUCCGCUCUCAAAGGAAGCCUUUGACUUGAUGUUAAGCAAUUAACUAUAACCACAUUCUAAGUGCGAGUAGCGAAAUGUCAACGUUCAGUUUAUGGAGUAUAAAAAGAUCGCUGAAGCUUCGUGAAAGUUGAAAGAUAAUCGAGUUCUUUCCACCGUUUCGUUACAUUGUAACCAUUCUAGAAGCAUAGAGGUAGCUCCUAUAUGCUCAGCCUAGCGUGAGUGUGUGCGAAUAACAAAUUAGAAUAAUGCUUGUAGGGCGAAGGCCCGCGAACACUUUGUUUAAAAU
rnacentral:ncRNA from 1 species